rnacentral:lncRNA from 1 species
UUAGUACCUCAUUUGGCUUGGUGCCUAGGAGCAGCUUAGCUCAUACUUGAUAAGUGUGAUAGUGCUUUCCUUACAGCCCUCAAAUGUCGUUACACUCUGCAAUGUGUCGAAUCAAGUCUUACAAUGUUCAUGUUAAUCUUGACACUUGGUUAUGUAAAUAAAUAUUGAAUUAUUCAUGUUUUACAAUAUACUGGUGAACUAUUGUGUUGAGCAUCGUAAGGGAUGUAUAUAGAUUAUGAUACCUAUGGUGAAAGGAUGAUAGAUGAUAAUGGCAUGAGAUGUGUGUCAAACGAUAGAAA